rnacentral:rRNA from 1 species
CACGUAGGGUGCAAGCGUUGUCCGGAAUUAUUGGGCGUAAAGGGCUCGUAGGCGGUCCCGUCACGUCGGGAGUGAAAACUCGGGGCUCAACCCCGAGCCUGCUUCCGAUACGGGCGGACUAGAGGUAGGUAGGGGAGAACGGAAUUCCUGGUGUAGCGGUGGAAUGCGCAGAUAUCAGGAGGAACACCGGUGGCGAAGGCGGUUCUCUGGGCCUUACCUGACGCUGAGGAGCGAAAGCGUGGGGAGCGAACAGG